rnacentral:rRNA from 1 species
CCUACGGGAGGCAGCAGUGGGGAAUAUUGCACAAUGGGGGAAACCCUGAUGCAGCGACGCCGCGUGAGUGAAGAAGUCUUUCGGUAUGUAACGCUCUAUCAUCAGGGAAGAAUACAGACGUUACCCGACUAAUAAGCCCCGGCUAACUACAGGCCAGCAGCCGCGGUAAUACGUAGGGGGCAAGCGUUAUCCGGAUUUACUGGUUGUAAAGGGAGCGUAGACGGCUGUGCAAGUCUGAAGUGAAAGCCCAGGGCUCAACCCUGGGACUGCUUUGGGAACUGUGGGGCUAGAGUGCUGGAGAGGAAAGUGGAAUUCCUAGUGUAGCGGUGAAAUGCGUAGAUAUUAGGAGGAACACCAGUGGCGAAGGCGGCUUACUGGACAGUAACUGACGCUGAGGCUCGAAAGCGUGGGGAGCAAACAGGAUUAGAUACCCCAGUAGUC